GAAGUGCCACCGAGAAGCGCCGGCCUCGGGGCUGUCUACAGCGGCCCGGGAGAGGCUGUGGUGGCCCCGAGCGCGAGUGUGUAGGUGACAGGACAGCGGCCAGGCCCGCCCCUCCCCUCGUGAUGGUCAUUGUCCUCCAGAGCAGUGAUGGAGGAAAUACCAGCCCAGGAAGCAGCAGGGUCACCAAGGGUCCAGUUUCAGUCUUUGGAGACCCAGUCUGAGUGUCUGUCCCCAGAGCCUCAGUUUGUGCAGGACACCGACAUGGAACAGGGACUCACUGGGGCAGUUCCAAGAGCCUCUGAGUUCCUGCCUUUUUUCAUCUCUGAAUCCCCACCAUUGGCCUACAUUGGGAGUGGGGCGACCUAUGGGGAAAGCAAGGUCCUGAGACUCUGAGCAACUUCCCCAAGAUCACACAGCUAGGAAGUGAUGAAGCUGAGACAAGACCAGCCAGCACUUACCCACCACGGUGUAACUACUCAUUCAAAAGAUGACAUCUUUUGAAAAUUUUUAUUCUUUCAGAGACAAGGUCUUGCUUUGUUGCCCAGGCUGGAGUACGGCGGCAUGAUCAUAGCUCACUGCAGUCUCUAA
rnacentral:lncRNA from 10 species